rnacentral:rRNA from 1 species
UACGUAGGGGGCGAGCGUUGUCCGAAGUUACUGGGCGUAAAGCGCGCGGUAGGCGGGUUGGCAAGUCUGCUAGUGAAAGCCCGGGGCUUAACUCCGGAGGGUCGGUGGAUACUGCCAGUCUUGAAGGUGCUAGGGAGAGAUGGAAUUACCGGGUAGUAGCGGUGAAAUGCGUAGAUAUCGGUAGGAACACCAGUGGCGAAGGCGGUUGCCUGGGGCUUUGCUGACGCUGAUGCGCGAAAGCGUGGGGAGCGAUCCGG